UCCAGGGAAGAGUAACUUAACCUGCUGGUAUUUAGUCUAGGGUUGCUGAAACAUUCUUGCUUUCAAAGGGAGAAAUUGCACGCAAAUGAGAAGACAGCUGAGUCAGCAAGAUGGAUGCCAGGAAGGGGAAAAGAGAGAAAGUGAAUUCUGCUAUGGUCUGUCCUGAGACCCGCCCUUACAGCUGGAAUUUUAGGUCCUGAGAUCCACCAUGGGGAGAACAUGUCCCAGGCAGUAAGGACAGAGACUUCAAGUCGGUCGGAAGCCUAGAGUCCAACCUGGCCCAACCAAGUCCUGCCUACAUCAACCAAACCACAUGCAUAUUGUGAGAAUAAAAAUAAAUGUUUAUUUGUAAGCCA